GCACAAAACAGCAACACCACCUACCCCUCCCAUUGCCUUCUUUAGAACACUGAGACUGAAGUCAGGAAGGCAGGCCAUUGGGAAGGAAAGAUGGUGAAGUGGGGAAGGAACAGGACACAUUGGAGCACAUAAGAGUGAGCUGGAACACAUGCAGGUCUCUUGUCAGCUCCAGCUCCCAACAUCAGUGCUAUUUCUGGCUAGAUGUGAAACUGGUGCCCUUUCCUGUGAAGCUAACCACAGCACUGGCCCAAGAGUCACAGAAGAUAAAGGAAGAGACCCAAGAGGAGUUGGACGAGCAAGUCCUGCUGCUGCUGCAGACGCUGCACACACUGGUCUAGGAUUUUGAGAAACUGAAGGAGGAGAUCCAGCUGUUGCUGGAGUGACUGUCAGCUGGCCCUGCUCCACUUAGACAAGGUGAGCCAGCCCAUCAGAAACAAUGUGCCUGAUUUGCAAUGGCACCCGAUGUCUUGCAUUGUAAUUGCAUUGACCUUCCCAGUAUAAAAGGAUAUGACUGUUGCUGCUUCUCUUCCACUUUUCAAAUGUCAUCUAAAGUAUCUCUUGCAGCCCACAGGAAUUUGGAAUUAUGCUAAAAAGUGGAUUCUGAGAAUCAUGUUUGUAACUUAAAUGAGCUUACACAGUGCAUAUCACCUUGCAUAUGUCAAAAUAAAAAAUGAAAUAAAAAUCGAUACAAUCUCUUCUUCUCCCUGGAGUAAAGACAGUAUCUUUUUUCUGAAUACUAUGUGUUCAUCAGUCUUCUCAUCACAGCUUCAGUGCCUGUAUCAGAUAACAUCUUAGGAAGUCUCAUCCAGGCUACCCUUCCUCCAGACACACUGGAUAUGAUCUUAAUUGCUAGAAUAUUAAGAGAAGAUAAUAAGAUAAGAAGGGAAGCAGCAACCAUAUGAUGUGAUAAUUGUGAGUCUGGGACCUGGAAGCUUUACAAAAGAUAUUGGGUAAUAAAGACUUGGAGACUUACAUGUUUAACUUCCUUAUCCAGAGUGAUCUGAUGGGCAUAUUUAUUAUGAUGAUGGUAAAGAUAUUAAGUUCAAAUUCAACCCCCAUCUGAGAGGACUGGAAGACUGUUUAAGUUGUCAGGGUAGCCUGACAAUGAACCAGGGCUGCAUACAAACCAUUAGUGAAAACUGCAAAGAUACAUGUAACACACAGGCAAAUAUACAAAGAGAACCUUGUAUGGAGUGUAAAAGAAGCAUACGCCUACAAACUGCUGGAGGCUUUGAAAGCAAUUUACCGAGAAAGCUUUUUACAGUGGCCCACUUUGGAGCCAUCGAUAAUUAACUAAACAAAUAUUUCAGAGUGUAUCCAACUGGUUUCAGCCAAUUUCCUUAGGGAGUUGUGAUACUUUAAAUUCCAUAUAAUGAUACUGUUGGAUCAGUGUCUUCAGCUGCAGUAUGUAAGCACACAGGACUUGAUUCAUGAUCAUAUGGGUAAUAAUUUGAGAUCAAUAUUUUAAAUAAUGUAAUAGAAAACCAGCAAGGAAUCUCUCACAAGUAAUAAAUAGCGCUUGAGCCUUAGUUGUGGGUAUAUGGAGUCAUUAUGAAUUCUGCCAAGUAUAUAGAUUUAUGCUUAUACAAAUUACUGAGUGAUAAAAGACAACAUUUCUCAUAAUAGCAAUAUGGUUUCAUAACCUAUCCAAGAGCAUAGGUUUCUUCAUGUAGGACACCAAGAAACCAAAGCAUUAUUCUAACCACUUAUUCAUAAUAGGUCUGACUUUAGCAGCUGAUAUUUCUGCCUUGCAGAGACUCUGUUUUUCCCAGUCUUGAGAUGAGAUGUGAAGCUUGUCUUAUUCACACUGCGUGGCAUAUGGAAAGAAGCUCAGGCUUUAGAGGCAGAAAUACAUCUGCUCGAGGGAUCUGCUUAGUGCUAGUUUCUGCUUCUGUAAAAUGCGAAU
rnacentral:lncRNA from 10 species